CCCUUAGAUGUUCUGGGCUGCACGCGCGCUACACUGAUGCGUUCAACGAGUUUUUAGCUUAUCUGAUAAGAUUGGCUAAUCUUCUGAAAACGCAUCGUGAUGGGGAUAGAUUAUUGUAAUUAUUAAUCUUCAACGAGGAAUUCCUAGUAGGUGUGAAUCAUCAGUUCACGCCGAUUACGUCCCUGCCCUUUGUACACACCGCCCGUCGCACCUACCGAUUGGAUGGUCCGGUGAAGCCUCGGGAUUGUGGUUCUUGCCGCUUUAUUGUGGCGUGACCGCGAGAACUUGUCUAAACCUUAUCAUCUAGAGGAAGGUGAANUCGUAACA
rnacentral:rRNA from 1 species